GGGGCUAAUACCGGAUAAUAUUUUGAACUGCAUAGUUCGAAAUUGAAAGGCGGCUUCGGCUGUCACUUAUGGAUGGACCCGCGUCGCAUUAGCUAGUUGGUGAGGUAACGGCUCACCAAGGCGACGAUGCGUAGCCGACCUGAGAGGGUGAUCGGCCACACUGGGACUGAGACACGGCCCAGACUCCUACGGGAGGCAGCAGUAGGGAAUCUUCCGCAAUGGACGAAAGUCUGACGGAGCAACGCCGCGUGAGUGAUGAAGGCUUUCGGGUCGUAAAACUCUGUUGUUAGGGAAGAACAAGUGCUAGUUGAAUAAGCUGGCACCUUGACGGUACCUAACCAGAAAGCCACGGCUAACUACGUGCCAGCAGCCGCGGU
rnacentral:rRNA from 1 species